rnacentral:lncRNA from 1 species
AUUUAGUAUUAGCUGUGAGUAGGGUUUGUAAUUUAGUUCGUUAUUCGAGAACUAGCUGGUGUUCAGCUCGAUAUGAGCUCGAGAUUGAUCGUUCGUUUAAUAAACAAGCCAAACACGAUCUAAAAUUUUCAGCUCAAAAUCUAAACAAGUUGAACACGAGUUAGGGUCAACUCGCUCGUAUUCAGUUCAAUAUCGAUCGAAUAUAUAUAUUAUAAUUUUUUACUAUUUGGAUUUUAUGCCAACUCAAAUAUAAAAAGACCAAUAUUUUCUGAAUUUUAUCUAUUAGAUUAAGAUUCUAAUUUUCUAAUUAUCUUUCAACCUUUCACUCGGUAGUAGGGCUCACAACCUAACUUGUUGUUCAUCAACCAGUCCAUGUUUGUCUCGUUGAUAAAUAAUUAAGUUGAAUACAAGCUAAAAUUUUCAACUCGAUAUUUUAACAAGCUCGCUCGAGUUUGGCUCGUUUAAUAAAUAAGUAAAAAUGAGCAGUCCCAGCUCGUUCAUAUUUAGCUUGUUGAUAG